UGCCUCAGUAACGGCGAGUGAAGCGGCAACAGCUCAAAUUUGAAAUCUGGCCCUAGGCCCGAGUUGUAAUUUGCAGAGGAUGUUUCUGGCGAGGUGCCUUCCGAGUGCCCUGGAACGGGACGCCAUAGAGGGUGAGAGCCCCGUACGGUUGGUCGCUAAGCCUCUGUGAAACUCCUUCGACGAGUCGAGUAGUUUGGGAAUGCUGCUCUAAAUGGGAGGUAUACGUCUUCUAAAGCUAAAUACCGGCCAGAGACCGAUAGCGCACAAGUAGAGUGAUCGAAAGAUGAAAAGCACUUUGAAAAGAGGGUUAAAUAGUACGUGAAAUUGUUGAAAGGGAAGCGCUCAUGACCAGACUUGGGCCGGUUGAUCAUCCGCCGUUCUCGGCGGUGCACUCUGCCGGCUCAGGCCAGCAUCAGUUUGGUCCGGGGGAUAAAGGUGUAGGGAAUGUGGCUCCCCCCGGGGAGUGUUAUAGCCCUGCGCGUAAUACCCUGGACUGGACUGAGGUUCGCGCAUCUGCAAGGAUGCUGGCGUAAUGGUCAUCAGUGACCCGUCUUGAAACACGGACCAAGGAGUCGUCUUCGUAUGCGAGUGUUCGGGUGUCAAACCCCUACGCGUAAUGAAAGUGAACGUAGGAGAGAGCUUCGGCGCAUCUCCGACCGAUCCUGAUGUUCUCGGAUGGAUUUGAGUAAGAGCAUACGGGGCCGGACCCGAAAGAAGGUGAACUAUGCCUGUAUAGGGUGAAGCCAGAGGAAACUCUGGUGGAGGCUCGCAGCGGUUCUGACGUGCAAAUCGAUCGUCAAAUAUGGGCAUGGGGGCGAAAGACUAAUCGAACCUUCUAGUAGCUGGUUUCCGCCG
rnacentral:rRNA from 1 species